rnacentral:piRNA from 1 species
UAGGCCAGCUUUCUUCCUUCCCUCUCUAA